UACGAAGGGGGCUAGCGUUGUUCGGAAUUACUGGGCGUAAAGGGCGCGUAGGCGGCUCGGCAAGUUGGAUGUGAAAGCCCAGGGCUCAACCCUGGAAUUGCAUUCAAGACUGCCUUGCUUGAAUUCGGUAGAGGUUGGUGGAAUUCCCAGUGUAGAGGUGAAAUUCGUAGAGAUUGGGAAGAACACCGGUGGCGAAGGCGGCCAACUGGACCGACAUUGACGCUGAGGCGCGAAAGCGUGGGGAGCGAACAGG
rnacentral:rRNA from 1 species